GCAUGAUCCUGCAUGGUUGUGGGUCUAGGCUUCAAACCUAGGGACGCUUAGCGGCGUAGUGGUUCGAUUCCACCUUGC
rnacentral:tRNA from 13 species